AUGAUUACAAAUUGGUUUUUAUUCUUUUAUUUUAUUCUACAGUAUCGCGGACGAAAUCGCACGUUAAACAUUAUCUGUCAAAUUCCAUAUAAUAUUUUGACAGGCCUUCCGAAAAAAUCGCAUCCGAUGGAGCACAGACACGGGCCUAAGUGAUAGACAAUCGUGUUUUUCAAAUCGAGGAAUACUAACAGACUGUUGACAGUUGUUAAUUGGAAUGGAACACCCUGUAUAGUGCAGAUAGUUUUCUGCUGUCCACGGUGAUACUACACACUAGUGAUGCGCGUUGCGUUCCGAACCUGCCAGGUGCGAUCCGUUCCAGCAUGCAAGCAUCCGGACCGCGAUCCUUAUUUUUAACACAAGCAGGUUCAAACUGAACCUGUUGCUCCCACCGUUCUUUGUGAUCCGACCUGAACCGACUGUUAUCAACGAUCUUAUCGAUUCGAUCUGAACGGGCUGCUCUCAGCGUUCUCGGUGAUCUGUGCUGGGUCGGAUGCUCUCAGUGCUUAUUACGAUCCGGCCUAGAACGCACGACAUUCUACUCUCUUUGUAUGAUGAGUCGGUUUGCCGUAAACAAAUCAGCCAGGUUCAGUUUAAACCUGUUUCUCUCAGCGUUCUUUUCGAUCCAGUCUGGAACGCACGAUCAUCUGCUCUCUUUCAUACGAUGGGCCGAUUUGGUACGUACAAAGGAAGCAGGUAAAAUCUGAACCUGUUUCUCGUAUCUGUUCUCUUUCAUACGAUGGGUCGAUUUGGUACGUACAAAGGAAGCAGGUAAAAUCUGAACCUGUUUCUCUCAGCGUUCUUUUCGUUCCGGUAAAGAACGGCGUUCUCUUCUCUUUUGCUUCUUUCUAGUAUGAAUUCUGUCACACUAGUAUGAAUUCUGUGAAUUUCACAUUCUGUCUAUGUGAGUGAUAACAGCGCAAGCCAUACUCUCUCAGUCAAAGAGAUAACGGUAUAACACCUGAGCCGUGAAGCCAGAGAAGGAUAGAGAUUUGUGAUUGGUGGGAAGCUAAUCGCCAAAAUUUAAAGAGACAAUCCUGCACUAACGAUAAGCGCAAUGAAUGAAAUGUUUCUCUUCUGCCAUAUGGAUGUUAACAGUAUAGGUGCGUUAUUUGGACUGCAUUGUGGUAGUCAAUGACUUGCUAUGAUUUGGGUGCUAAGCUGCUUCGUUGUACAUGCAUCUCCAAUGAACUCGAUUGAAUUUUUAUCUGAGAUGGAACUAAAUAUUUAAGGUGCAUGACACGUUUAGCCUUCCGCAAUAAUUUAUUUAACGCCGUGAAACAGCGCUAUUCUUAACGACAAUUAUAGUGCACUACUGCACACUUUCACACCGGUAGUUCACCGUACAGUAUAAUGUCAACCUUACAGAAACAACUUAACAGUCUAUGUAUUUUAUAUAAACCACUGUUAUUCGAUUCUAUCUGCUUCUAUUAAGAAAUAUUAAUUCAAUCAAUGUAGUGUAAAUUAAUCCAUACGAAAUUUAACAAGUCAAUUAAACUUGUAAGCUUUUUGAUUUUGCUUCAAAACUUCAUAUGCGUUCCAACAAAUUUCUGAUUCACUUCUUUAUUUAGAAGUAUAAAAGGGAAUAAUGAUUAAUUUUAAUGAAAAAGGAACUGUAUAGCGGGCUACUUAAGUUAAGCGUUUUAAUGGUAGUACAAGAAUAGUUUUACACAUUCAGUAAACUAAUAUUUAGCUUUGUUUAAUUGAAACUGUGUGAUUACUGCACAAAAAAUAUAUUACACAAUAUUCGAUGAAUACUUUCAAGUUAACCAUAUAUAAAGUGAGCAACUGAAAAAGAGUAACCAUGGCAGGUCAUCUCGAACCUGCGUUCCGCGUUCCUUUCUUUUUCUCCAGAUUGGCAGGUUCGUCCCGUUCCUCAAUUUUCAGAACUAUUCCCAUCACUAUUACUUACCAUCCUUUAGAUAACGAGUUUUGAAAACGUAUGAUAUAAUAAUUUGGAAUUGAAGUAUCGAAGCAUAGUGAACCGGGAAAACUCAAAAAAAAAAAAUCCGGGAAAAAACCGGGAAAAAAACCGAGAAUUUACAAUCCUGAUUCGAGUGGCCACCCUGAAGAACGACAAUAUUCUGAACUUCAAAUUAUUGAAACCCGUUCCAUCAAAAGGCUUAAUCUUGAGGAACUUCUCUUCAUCUCCCAUCGUGAUGAUUUUCUCUAAUGACUUAAAGAAUCUUCUAGGCUUGAUUAGCACUGGGUUAUUUUAGGCCCAUAACCUUUUAAAAGAGCUAAAACACCUUUGCUGUUUGGUGGUUGAAAGAGGAAUUAAAAUUUUACUAACUACAUUCUGUUAACACUAUUUCAUAGAAUCCUACGAUCAAUUGUACACCGGUAUUUCAUCGCAUACUUAAAUCAAUUGUAAAGGCCGGGCUACAUUGAUCGUACUCGCAAGUGUAAUUUCGAUUUUCACUAGCGCAAUUGGCGGCGGGUGGUGGAAGCUUUUUUUGGUCGUCGGGGGAAUGGUCGUGGCGGAUCUCAAAAUUAAUUAGUUUUUUUCACCGUUUUUUUAUGCGAAAACGGCUGAAAUACUUGCACAACAUAUUUAUGUAUCAAUUACAAAGCUUUCCCAGUCCAGUUAAAGUGAAAAACAUUUAAAAAUAACGUAUUUUUGGAGCAGCCUCAAAUUGUUUGGCAAAAUGCUUCGGUUAGCCGCCGCCAGAUGCACUAGUGAAAAUCGAAAUUAUACUUGCGAGUACGAUCAUUGUAGCCCGGCCUUAAACUUCAACAAUAAUGUCUAGUGAACAAUUUGAAGUGUUUAAAGGCUGGGAGACAUUAAUCGUACUCGCUAGUGUAAUUUUUAUUUUCACUAGCGCAUCUGGCGACGACCAGCGCAAGCUAGAUGUCGGUAUAAUUUAUGUGUCAAAAUUAUUCAUACUUGGUGUCAUCAAGUUUCGACCAUGCUACUUGUAUGCCGUUUAAAAUGUUGAUAAACGUCCAUACAUUGCAACAAAGUAGGCCGUUAGUUGUUGGACAAAUGGUCAAAGCAAACAAAGGGCUGGGCAACAUUUUUGUCCAUUUAUACUAUAAAAAUUAUACUACGGAGUACGAUCAAUGUAGCCCGGCCUUAAUAAAACUCUGACACAUCCAGUAUACCAGGCAGGCAUAAUUACCCUUUCACAUGACUGUACAAUUCAAACUACAGAAAUUUAAAAUUAAACCAACACUGUUUACUUACUUAUCCGGCACUACAACCGCUUUGCGGUCUUGGCCUGCCUCAAGAGUGUCCGAAACCGCUCACGGUCUUAUCCCGGCCUUAAUGGCGGACGCCUCCACGCCAUCUUGCCACCUCAAUUUGGGCCUACCACGCCUCCUCUGUCCUUGUGGACGGCCUAAAGAGACUUUACUGACUGGGUCGUCAGUUUCCAUGCGUACAACAAGGCCAGCUCACCGGAGCCUGGCGAGCUGUGAGACAGUGUUGAUACGCUGUACGACAGUGAGGUCGCCGUAUAUCUCGUAUAGCUCGUCAAUAUAGCGGCUCCUCCAUUGUCCUUCCACACAUACGGGGCCAAGUAUCCUUCUGAGCAUCUUCCUCUCGAACGCGACUAAGAGGGUUUCGUCAGAUUUGGACAGUGUCCAUGUCUCAGAGGCGUAUGUGAGUACCGGAACUAUAUAGGUACAAUAUAGUCCCAGCUCCGUUCGUCGCGACAGGUUCUUUGAGGUGAACUGAUUUUUCAGGCUGUAGAAUGACCGGUUGGCAGCCAGCAUCCUUGCGCGCAACUCAGCUUCCAUACUGUUGUCGUUGCUGACCUUUGACCCCAGAUAGGUGAAUUCUGGGACGACUUCAAAAGUGCGUUCACCUAUCUGUACAUCACGCUUACGUAGAUUUGGAUUAUUCACCAAUCGAUAUAAGAAGUAAAAUAAAUCUAUAAAUUCGGUGUCCAUCUUUCCCUACAACAAAGUGUCCGUCUUUCCCGCUUUAGGGUCAAGGUGUUUAAGCCACCAGAAAACAAUAUUUUAUGUUGCUUUCUUUCUCGUUCUUUCGCCAGUUUUUUCAUUGAUGAUCACGACAACUCAUUCAUGAAAUAAAACUUCCGGAAAUAUAAACAAUACAAGUUGUAGAGCUUAAGAUCCGCAGUAAUCAAAUUAGGUCCACAAGGGUGCACACGAUUGAAAAUUUGUUUUGUUCGUAAAUUUAACCAAUUUUGCAUAUAUUAUGCCAAAAAUGUUCUUAAAUUUGUUGUUUAACUUUAAGUUUGGAUGCUUCAUUGUUGAUUUUUUCGAAAAUUACUUUUUUCAUGCAUUUAUGAGAAGUGUCCAUCUUACCCGCAGUGUCCGUCUUUACCUACCUUCCCCUCUUCUAUGUUGGUGCGAUAUUCAAUAAAUCGAAUUACGUUGGUGUAUGGUGUGCACUGUAUCAUUUUGGAAAGGACCCUGGCAAUAAAGGGGGAGGGGGCUAAUAAAACGAACCCACCGGUCACCAGCACUCAGAGAUCCUUUGAAUACGCGCUUGAAUAAGAACUUGAAUUGGCGAAAUUAUUCAACUGAUCCGUCGAAAUUAUUCAAGUAAAUUAUUCAGCGCUUGGCGGAUAAACCCCGUAAAAAAUGGAGUUUUGUUUAAUUUGAGGUAAGUAAAAGUGAUUAAAAUUAUCAACCAACAUCCCCCCUUCUAAUUAAUAUAAUUUUUCUGCCAUUUCAUGUGUGUUUCACGGCGAACGGAGACAACAAAAAUCUGUGGCUGUGUCGUAGUGUUGGAGCAGUGGCCCGUACAGUGCAGCGAGAAAAACCUGGAGCAACAGCGAUGAGGAGCAGAAAGUGCUGUGCUGAAUUUGUUUUUUUUUUCACUGUGCGACUGUAAAAAGUGUUUUUUUUUUUUAAUUAUGUGCGUUAAUUUAGAAUUAAGUGCAGUGAUUAUUGUGCAAGUGUUGUGUUCUUUUGUAUUCUAUGUUGGUUCGAUAUUCAAUAAAUCGAAUUACGAUAGUAUAAUGGUGUGCACUGUAUCAUUUCGGAAAGAAAUCCUGCCAAAAAAGGGGGAGGGGACUAAUUAAACGAAGGUUCGUGCCGAACUCCGUUCGGGUUCGUUUCGGCUUCGGGUUACUUCGAGUGCUUAUAUGCCGGGCUACAUUGGUCGUACUCGCAAGUGUAAUUUUUAUUUUCACUAGCGCAUCUGGCGACGACCAGCGCAAGCUAGAUGUCGGUAUAAUUUAUGUGUCAAAAUUAUUCAUACUUGGUGUCUCAUCAAGUUUCGAGCAGGCUACUUGUAUGCCGUAUGAAAUGUUUAUAAACGUCCAUAAAUUGCAACAAAAUAGGCCGUUAAUUGUUGUUGGUGGAUAAAUCGUCAUUCAUGCAAAGCGCUAAGCAACAUUUUUCCCCAUCUUUCAACAUCUUUCCAUCAUUGGGUAAAAUUAUAGCCUCCUGGACCCAAAACACUUUUUGACAGAUAAAUUAUACCAGCCUCUAGCUUCGACCCGCCGCCGCUAGAUGGCGUACGCGUUCACAAAAAUUACACUCAGGAUUGAUCGUACUCUAUGGUGUAAUUUUAAUUUUCACUAGCGCACCUGGCGGCGGCUGACCGAAGCAUUUUUCCAAACAAUUUGGAGCCGCUUUAGAAAAUAUGUAAUUUUUCCAUGUUUUUAACCUAAUUUGGACAAGAAAAGUUUUGUAAAAGGUAGAUGCACAUGUCCUACAAGCAUUGCAUCGAUUUUCAUUGCAAAAAACGAUGGAAAAACAACUUAAAUUUGAGAUCCGGCACGACCAUUCCCUCGACGACCAAAAAAAGCUUCCACCAGCCGCCGCCAGAUGCGCUAGUGAAAAUCGAAAUUACACUUGGGAGUACGAUCAAUGUAGCCCGGCCUUAAUAUUCGUCAACUUUUUUUAAGUAUGCCCAAGUAGCAACCGAAGCCUGUUUCUCGCAGUUUCAAUCCCUUCAUGUCCAAAAACUGCCUUCGCUCACUAUUCCUAUCCCAUUUCUACGUUUGUUGCGUUCUCGCUCAUCAGGGUGUUAGUCAAUUAUCUCUUGCCACACUAAGAUAAUUCUCCUGCACACUUCGUGUGUUAGAUCCCUCCCUAUUGAACAGAAGUCAUUUUCUUCCAUCGCAUCUGGGUGUUUGCUCUUUUCCAUCCAAGCCAAAGAGCGACUUCAGUGUGCUCUGAACCGUGGACGUGACAUUGUAUGUUUGUGUGCUGCGUGAAAUCUUUUUCUUGCUUAAAACACUUUCCCGUACUGCACCAUCCGCGGUGUUCUUUCUGCUUCAUCGGAGGACGAUUUUUUAUCAUCUAAUUGUUUGGUUUCAGAUGUGUGCUGCUACCGCUAGCUGUUCCUCAAACUUCUUAAAAAGUGUGACACUGUGUGCACAGGCGUUCAAGUUUCAAUUGAUCCUCAAGCACAAAGCCUUCAUACAACACCGCGGUUGAGGUGCGCCAAAUCUGAUGACAUCUUUCCUGAACCAAGCAGGCUGAACACGCGCACCACCACGGGCUCCAGCGCGGUGUGAAGAGGGAAGAAGAAAAGACAGAAUUGGAAACAGCCGCACCAGGCUUCCAACCACCGUGUGUGUAUGUAAGUAUGUGAGAACACAUGUGUGAAUCCUCUUGUGGGAACUGCAAAAAGAAGAGAAUAAAGAGUGUGAAGCAGCUAGGCUGCCGCAACCAAAUCAAGAGAGUGAAUUCUCAUUUCAAUCCGAAAAACUGGGAGAGAGUGAUGACAUGCGGGAGAGAAUAAAACUAGAAACACGAGAGAGGGCCACACGAAGCGCUUUCGGGGUUUUUUUUUUGCCACCGCGCACAUUUUGCUUUAUGCGCGCGACUAAGUGAGCCUUGAUGAGCGCGAUGGCUCCCAUACAAAGGCCUUCGGCUUUGCUAGCUGGGAGUUAGUGAUGGGAAUAGUUCCGAAAAUUGAGGAACGGAACGAACCUGCCAAUCUGGAGAAAAAGAACGGAACGCGGAACGCAGGUUCGAGAUGACCUGCCAUGGUUACGCUUUUUCAGUUGCUCACUUUAUAUAUGGCUAACUUGAAAGUAUUCAUCGAAUAUUGUGUAAUAUAUUUUUUGUGCAGUAAUCACACAGUUUCAAUUAAAACAAAGCUAAAUAUUAGUUUACUGAAUGUGUAAAACUAUUCUUGUACUACCAUUAAAACGCUUAACUUAAGUAGCCCGCUAUACAGUUCCUUUUUCAUUAAAAUUAAUCAUUAUUCCCUUUUAUACUUCUAAAUAAAGAAGUGAAUCAGAAAUUUGUUGGAACGCAUAUGAAGUUUUGAAGCAAAAUCAAAAAGCUUACAAGUUUAAUUGA